UACGUAGGUGGCAAGCGUUGUCCGGAAUUAUUGGGCGUAAAGCGCGCGCAGGCGGUCCUUUAAGUCUGAUGUGAAAGCCCUCGGCUCAACCGAGGAGGGUCAUUGGAAACUGGAGGACUUGAGUGCAGAAGAGGAAAGUGGAAUUCCCGGUGUAGCGGUGAAAUGCGUAGAGAUCGGGAGGAACACCAGUGGCGAAGGCGGCUACCUGGACCAGCACUGACACUGAGGCACGAAAGCGUGGGGAGCA
rnacentral:rRNA from 1 species